UUUUAGUAACAAUGUACAUUGGUUGUGAUAAUGUCAAUGUCACGACCCACUCUGGGGGCCCGUGACCGGCACUAGGGAAUGGGUAGGCUUAAGGCCACCGAAACCCGUAGUAAGCCUUACCAACCCGCAAAUCCAAAUAUACAAUUAACCAAAUAUAAAAUAGUCAUAAUUGUCUUGCAUAAUACAUCAUCAAACUACCAACAAGAGUCAGAAUAGUUAUACAAAUUUUAAAAUUUCCUACUGCGGAUACUCUAGAGUAAAAAUGACAAGUAUACAAGUACAAGAUAAUUACAAAAGUCCGAAAAAGAAGAAGUCGGACUGUCGAAUGUGCGAAGGCGAAAGUCUUUAACUGUCACCUGAAAAAAAAUUACAACUGAGACUGUCAGUCUCGAGAGUGAGUCAAAAUCAAAUAAUCUAAGGGCUUUUGCAACCUUCACAUGAUAUAUUAAUUAUUCAAAACAAUAUACCAAUUUCUGAAUAUAAUUGCAGUCAUAAUAUAAAAUCAUACACCAUAAUAAUAAAAUGAUAAAAGGAGAGUGUAAAUAAAUAAAGACAUUUUUACUUUCACGGGACGUGUGGCUAAGUAGAACCCUAACCCCAAAUUCUAACAGCCACUUUGCCCUGGACAUGUGGCUAAGUAGAACCCUAACCCCGAGAGCAAUGCUCGACCAGGGACCUUACCUCCAGUCUGGUCACUUAAAUAUCCAAAUAAGAAAUCUAGUAGCCAUUCGGCUCUCUUAAUCCAAUAAGACUGGCGCCCCGAGAGCAAUGCUCGACCAGGGACCUUACCUCCAGUCUGGUCACUUAAAUAUCCAAAUAAGCCGGCGCCCCGAGAGCAAUGCUCGACCAGGGACCUUACCUCCGGCAAUUUACACAAAUCAGCCCAGAGAGCCAUGCUCGACCAGGGCAAACCCAUAAAUAUCUUAUUACAUGUCCAUGAUCAUUACCGGUGCGCACGCGGUCCUGAUGUAACCCAUCAGGCGGCAUGUUCUACAAGCCACAUUUCCCAAUUCGCAAUCAUCACAUAUAAUAAAUAUCAUUAUCUGAUGAACUCAACCAACACAUAUCGAAAUAAAGAUUAAAGAUUUAAGGUAAAACAACGUGCAAUUUGCGAGGGGAAAAAUAAUAACGCUUAUCUUAUUAUAACAUACUAAUAAUAAUAUUUAUAUUAUUUCAAAUAUUAAUAAUCAAGUGAAAUCAUUUACCUUGCGAUACUAAUAAUCAUAUUAAGCACAAAUUCUAAAUAGCAUAUUAAAAUCAGACUAGCAAUAGCGCAAAGAUUAAAUGACUUUAACUCACAGAUUUGAUGCGUUCCACAGUCCGCUCCUACGCCUCGGGUGGAGCUGGCGGGAAGGCUGAAUUAUGUAAUAACAAAAGACAUACAAUUAAUAGACAUUCGAAAAUUUUUCCUAAACUUAGACCCUAAGGUCGACUGCCUAGAAUUAAAUUGGACUCGAGGAUUCUGCCGAAAAUUUGACAGAACCUCCCCUAAAUUACGGAUAUUUACCCCCCGUAAAACGGGUCCAGGACCUGCCAAAAACAUAUCAGAUAUGCUGGAAUUUAAUAACAGGAGCCGGGCCACAAGAACUGCAUUAAUAUUUUCCCGACUCCAAAACACCACAAUCCAAACAAUUCAAUUUGAUUUAUUUUUAAACUACCCAACACAAGCAAUUAAUAGCCUCAAUAACUUUCUAAUAUUAUAACAAAAUUUUUCAGAGUCUAAUAAAAUUAUACCGAGUUGAAAAUUAAAAUAUUUCGCGCGUCCAGAAAACACUGGGGUCCGGAAGCCGGUCCCGCCAACAGUGUCGGAAUUCAAAUCCGGAAGCGCCUACGCGAAGCUCAAGUUGCGGAGAGUCCGGAAGGACAAGAGUUUUGGCCGGAAAGUGGCCGGAAGGCGGCGGAUCGGGGCCGGAAAGUCGCUGCUCACGCGACACCUUUCAAGGCUGCCGGCAAGGAUUUCCGACGGAGGAGGGUUGCUUCAAGGGUUUUCGGGGGUGGGGAGUCCGAUUCCGGCGCCAGAUCGCCGAAAACAAGCCGGCAAGAGGCCGAACGGCGAAGACAACUCCCUACCUUCGGCUAACGUCGGCGGAAAGGAGGAAAGGGGAAGGAGAGCUGCUGCAGAGCGGCGGGAAGGGAGGAAGGCGCUGGCGGCGGCGAGCUGGGCGGCACGUAGGCGGCGCGGGGAAGAAGACAGUCGACGGGGGGAGGGAGAAGGAAGGGAGGAAGGAAAAGGAGG
rnacentral:lncRNA from 1 species